GGCUGGUCCAAAGGCAGUGAGUUAUCUCAAUUGACUGUCCACAGCCAGUUACAGAUCGAGCUCCUGGUUCUGCUCGUUUCCCCCUUCUCACUACUGCACUUGACUAGUCUUUA
rnacentral:Y_RNA from 1 species